AGGCCCUUGGCAUGUCACUCUUUUCCCUUCUCCAUGUCCUUGAGAACAAACACAGUAGGCUCAACGCCAUGAUAUGUGCGAUGGAAUGAAUCUGUAAUCAGCCUGCUCAGCCUCUUUGUGGAAACCUACAGGUGUCAAAAGUUGAUAUCAACAUGGACUAGAGUGUGGUCUGGUCUGAGAGUCCAUGAAAGCUGUUGUCCAUUUGAAAACUUUGCAAUCCUGCCCUCACUCAAGCCCCUCCUGAAUC
rnacentral:lncRNA from 1 species